GUAGUCAUAUGCUUGUCUCAAAGAUUAAGCCAUGCAUGUCUAAGUAUAAGCAAUUAUACCGUGAAACUGCGAAUGGCUCAUUAAAUCAGUUAUCGUUUAUUUGAUAGUACCUUACUACUUGGAUAACCGUGGUAAUUCUAGAGCUAAUACAUGCUGAAAACCCCAACUUCGGGAGGGGUGUAUUUAUUAGAUAAAAAACCAACGCCCUUUCGGGGCUUCUUGGUGAUUCAUGAUAACUUCACGGAUCGCAUGGCCUUGCGCCGGCGACGGUUCAUUCAAAUUUCUGCCCUAUCAACUUUCGAUGGUAAGGUAUUGGCUUACCAUGGUUUCAACGGGUAACGGGGAAUUAGGGUUCGAUUCCGGAGAGGGAGCCUGAGAAACGGCUACCACAUCCAAGGAAGGCAGCAGGCGCGCAAAUUACCCAAUCCCGACACGGGGAGGUAGUGACAAUAAAUACUGAUACAGGGCUCUUUUGGGUCUUGUAAUUGGAAUGAGUACAAUUUAAACCUCUUAACGAGGAACAAUUGGAGGGCAAGUCUGGUGCCAGCAGCCGCGGUAAUUCCAGCUCCAAUAGCGUAUAUUAAAGUUGUUGCAGUUAAAAAGCUCGUAGUUGAAACUUGGGCCUGGCUGGCAGGUCCGCCUCACCGCGUGUACUUGUCCGGCCGGGCCUUUCCUUCUGGAGAACCUCAUGCCCUUCACUGGGUGUGUUGGGGAACCAGGACUUUUACUUUGAAAAAAUUAGAGUGUUCAAAGCAGGCCUUUGCUCGAAUACGUUAGCAUGGAAUAAUAGAAUAGGACGUGCGGUCCUAUUUUGUUGGUUUCUAGGACCGCCGUAAUGAUUAAUAGGGACAGUCGGGGGCAUCAGUAUUCAAUUGUCAGAGGUGAAAUUCUUGGAUUUAUUGAAGACUAACUACUGCGAAAGCAUUUGCCAAGGAUGUUUUCAUUAAUCAGUGAACGAAAGUUAGGGGAUCGAAGACGAUCAGAUACCGUCGUAGUCUUAACCGUAAACUAUGCCGACUAGGGAUCGGGCGAUGUUCUUUUUCUGACUCGCUCGGCACCUUACGAGAAAUCAAA
rnacentral:rRNA from 2 species